GACAGAGGGUGCAAACGUUGUUCGGAUUUACUGGGCGUAAAGCGCGUGUAGGCGGCUUUGCAAGUCGGAUGUGAAAGCCCACGACUCAACCGUGGAAGUGCAUCCGAAACUGCAUGGCUCGAGUCUCGGAGAGGAAGGUGGAAUGCUUGGUGUAGAGGUGAAAUUCGUAGAUAUCAAGCAGAACACCUGCGGCGAAGGCGGCCUGCUGGACGAUGACUGACGCUGAGACGCGAAAGCGUGGGGAGCAAACAGG
rnacentral:rRNA from 1 species